CCCCUCUUUUUUUGAGCUCCAAUCGCUUGAGACAACUGAAUAGGAAACAAAAGUCCAGAACUUGAAAGGAGAGAACGGAUUGAAGAUGCUGCUGCUGCCCCUGCCCCAUUUCUUUUUUUUUGUCCCCUACCCGUCAGGAGGCUUUUGGAAUUAGAGUUAUCAAAUUUGUACAUGACCAGUAAAACUUUAGCUACUUUUCUGAGUAAACAGCCACAGCCCUGACCUCUGAAGUCAUGAAGAAGCCAUACUAAUAUCACACCACUCGGAAGAUUUAGGUAGACUGCACCAUAUAUUAUAUAGCUGCACAGAGGAUAGCUAGGAGGAAAAUAAGUGCAGCUACUCCAAGAAUCAAACAGAUGAUCCAACACACCUUCCUGAGUACACUCAUUGGAAUACAAGUAGCAGACUGCUUCAUCUGCACUCGACUUUGCGAUGCAUCCUUUGAAAUAAGAGGUUUGAGCAUCUCUGGAUCAUCUUUGGAUAUGGAGGGCUUUAUAUGAUCUUGGUCAUCGCUUUUGGUGGGAUUAUUGGU
rnacentral:misc_RNA from 1 species